rnacentral:lncRNA from 1 species
AUGGACAAAGGCAUGGAAAGCCUCAACUGGGUUCCUAAACCCCUGUCACUACUGCUAAUGGCACUAAGAGACUAUUUCAUAACUCAGCACACUGAUUCAAAAUAUGACAAAUCUCUGAGAAAAAGAGCAUUGGGAUUAAAAUUCCAGAAGCUACCGGAGCCAAAUUUAAUUCUGAAGCUACUUCAUUUGACCUGAGUACAACAAGAGCAUAUUUUAUUUCCAAGGAUAGUAUGGCUUCUCCCAUGCAAUUCCCUGUACUCUAGGCAUGUCGAGUCACAGCUUCGUGUCAUUAGAAUACCACACUGCUUUCUCCAACACAGUUGCCCCCAUAAAGAAAUAGAUGAAGAACUUUCAAGAUAAUUGAGAUGAUUGUAGAUCUGCAAAAGUAUUCACUCAAAAGAGUCCUAGAACUCUGGUGCCUGAAGAAAAGAGGACAUAAGAUUUUAGAGUUAACAUGUAGCAACCUAGUUUGAUGACAUAGACCAAUUUGGAGAGGAGAGGAACUAGAAACAUGUUUCUGAUCCCUCAGCAAGCCUCUUUGAG